rnacentral:rRNA from 1 species
UACGAAGGGGGCUAGCGUUGCUCGGAAUCACUGGGCGUAAAGGGUGCGUAGGCGGGUCUUUAAGUCAGGGGUGAAAUCCUGGAGCUCAACUCCAGAACUGCCUUUGAUACUGAAGAUCUUGAGUUCGGGAGAGGUGAGUGGAACUGCGAGCGUAGAGGUGAAAUUCGUAGAUAUUCGCAAGAACACCAGUGGCGAAGGCGGCUCACUGGCCCGGUACUGACGCUGAGGUGCGAAAGCGUGGGGAGCAAACAGG